rnacentral:rRNA from 1 species
UGGGCUCGAACGGCUCGUGAACGGCUGUGGAAACAUGGCUUUCCCGCAAGGGACUAGAGUCGAGGUGCUGCAUGGCUGUCGUCAGCUCGUGUCGUGAGAUGUUGGGUUAAGUCCCGCAACGAGCGCAACCCUCGUCCUGUGUUGCUAACCGAAAGGUGCACUCUCAGGAGACUGCCGGCGAUAAGCUGGAGGAAGGUGGGGAUGACGUCAAGUCAUCAUGGCCUUUA